UACAGAUACUUAAGACUAUGAUCUGGGGGUAGAAAUAUGGUGAUUGAAAUAACUUUAUUUUAUUUGAAUAGAUCAAAUACUAGGUCUUGAUGUUUUCGUGAAGGCCACGAAUAAAGGAGGCUGAUAAUAACUAGCAAGGCUAUUCCUUGAAGUAAAUACAUCACAUGAUAGUACCAAGCAAGCAGUUGGCACUUAGCUGCGGAGAAGAACUUGACAAUUUUGUUUGGCCAAUUGAAGUUCCCUUAAUUGGAAGAUUUUGUCUACCAAAGAGUCGUUGCAGUGUAGAGACAGUAAGAAAAUGUCAGCUUGUCUAUUAUGCCUACAAUUACAAGAAAGUAGACGAACGAGGCUUCAAGCACAAUGAUACAGAUUCAUAGUUUUGACUACAAGUCUGAGAGGAAAGAGUUGGAAGAAAGAACUAGAAAAGCUAAAUGUGAAAACAAGUC